UGACACGGGACGCAUUGUUUUGAAACAGAAAGUAAUCUGACACGGGGCCGACCUAUUGUUUAGAGAUGGAUCAUGCGUUUGACGUUAUUUAAACGGUAACUGCUGAAAAAGGCGAAUCCUUUGACAAAAUAAAGAAAGGUGAAUUUUACAAAUUCUUUUGAAGGACAUAAUGUUGAUGGGCCCACGAAGUUUCAUGUAGUUUACUGCGUUCCUCAUAUUUUGCCGGAACGUGUUUCGAGUCUUCGAACCUUUUUCAAACAUAAGGAGACACCUGGUGGGUUUCGGCAACGAUUCGAACAAUCUGGAGAUUGAAAUCCAUGUGCCUUUUCGUCGAAUGAAUAAAGUAUUAUGUUCCUUUCAGUUUUUUUGUAUUUGCUUGACAGUCAAUGAAAUGAAAAUGAAAUAUAUGAAUGAAAAUAUUUAGCACAUUGAGAAUGUUUUACUGCCACACCUCCAGACUACCAGCAGUUCAAUUUUGUCCUCUCUAGAGGACAUUUGUAAACUUGAAUAUCUCUCAUAUCCUGCAUGCUACCUAAUUAACUCCUGUUGUGCUUUAAAGAGGACAUUCGAGACUUUUAAAUAAUACCAGAUUUAUAGGGGUGGGGCUUUGGGAACUUCCUCUUCCUCCUUUAAGAAAAUGGCAUCUAUCACCACCAGGACAUUUUAUGGAAAGAAGAAAAGAAGGGAGUCCCUUUCAGAGGCAGAGAGAAUUUUGCUGCAAAUUGUUGGUGAAAACUCAGAUAUUGAGUUGUCAGAUGAGGAAAAGUGAGGAAAGGAUGUUUGAGUCUUCCAAGAGCACAAAAACUGUCCAUUGACGAGCAAAUGAUUCCAUUUACUGGCCGCUGCCCAGUUCGCUAGUAUGUUCUGGGCAAACCAUACCCAACUGGAUUGAAGGUGUUUGUCUUGGCCACACCAAAUGUCGUGGUCUUAGAUUUUGUUGUGUACCAAGGCAAGACCACCUUCCCAAUCACAGCAGGACAGGGCAUCGGAGCACAAGCUGUUCUUCAUUUGACUGAGUCCAUUCCCAGAGCAACCCACUUGUUCUUUGACCGGUACUUUACGACCGUCGACCUUUUGAACACCCUGGUGGAGAAGGGGCUGACAGGAACUGGAACUCUGAUGAAGAACAGAAUUCCAAAGGAGUGCAACAUUAUAGGGGACCAGGCCAUCAAAAAGAAAGGAAGAGGGACAUCUGAGAUGGUGGUCAGACGAAGCCCUCCUGAACUUGCUAUCAUUAAGUGGUUUGACAAUAAGCCAGUGGUCAUGGCAUCCUCUGCCUCUGGCAUUGAGCCUCAAGACACAUGCAAUAGAUGGUCUAAGAAGGACAAAAGGUAUGUUCAGGUGUCAAGACCACUGGCAGUGGCUGAGUACAACAGCAACAUGGGUGGAGUAGACAUGGCCGACCGAAUGCUAAGUUUCUACAGGAUGGCCACUCGCACUCGGAAGUGGACGGUGCGUGUAAUUUUGCACUUUUUUGAUUUGGCAAUCGCCAGUGCAUGGCUUCAGUACAGGAAUGAUUGCCAGCUUCAAGGGAAGAAACCACUGAAGUUUCUUGAAUUCAAAUUGCUACUUGGUGAGCAGCUGAUUACCCAUGGUCCAGCUGGAAUCUCUAGUGAGAGUGAAGAUGACUACACUCCCCCACGUCAAGUGGAAACCUCAGCCGAAUGCAUCCCUGAGACACUAUGGAGCCAUCCAUCUUCCAGAAAUGGUGGAUGAAGCACAUGCAUCCAGGUGUCGCAGAUCUGGAUGUAACAGCAAAACAUACGUGAUGUGCAAUUUGGGGGCUGGUCCGGGAUCAAUGGGAUUAAGCUGAGUGGACAGACGAGGAGGAGCGGGAUAGUCCAUUAGUGGAAUGGCGAGACACUUUUCCUCAAUCCAGCCGAAUAUUCCGGACUCGUCGGAUGACGCCACUUAUCCUGAUCCGAUCAAUGGACCCAAAAGGGAAAUUAAGAUUUUCGGCGUGUGCUAGGUGACAUGUGGACCCAUGUUUGUGUGAACUAGACGGCACCAGUGGCCAGCGGACAUCUGGAUUGCCGCACCAACCUUCUAUUUCUUCCCUGUGUGAAUUCAGCCAUGGAUAUCAGUACUCCGAGUGGGAUAAGGACGAUUCCGAGAUGGACUCCAAGUUUAAUAUUUUGUGAACAAAAUGGGUUUUUCACGUGUUCAAAGAGGGGAAUGUGGAAGAAAACUGAAAGUUAGGUGGGCUUGGGUACAUUAUGGCAUUGUUGUUCUGUUUUAGGCCUUAGGCAAGAAGAUUCUAUUUGUUUUUGUCAAAAUAUACUGGAGUGAACACCCUGGGUCACACUGACUGGGCACAAUUAGAGGGAAUUGUCAAAGCAAGAAAGACAAGAUACAUCUGGUAGCAGCAGAAAGAGAAGCAGGGGCUUGUGGAGGAAGGCUGUCUAAGUAAUGGGGAACAGAGAUAUGAGAAGAUGGGAGGGGGAAUCCUGUUUGCAAUAGUUUAAGCUAAUAAUACAAAGCACUUAAUCUCAUUACAUAUUAUCUCGGACUGGGCAAUGCUGCUGAUAGAUAAGACAGACAAAGGAAAUUGCAGGAUCACAGUAGCACAAUACACUAACACACACAUUUAGGCAGUAAAAAGACAGUUGAUUGUACAGUGGACAAUUGAAUGAAUGUUGUUGAAAUUGUUAAAUAAAUAAAAAUGAAUGAAAUAAUCUCUCCUCUCCUGGUGCCGACACCUUAUCGUGGUGGAGGGGUUUGCGUGUUCCAGUGAUCUCAGGAGCUAUGUUGUCUGGGGCUUUAUGCCCCUUGUAGGGUCACCCAAGGCAAACAGGUCCUGGGUGAGGAACCAGACAAAGUGCGGCUCAGAA